rnacentral:lncRNA from 1 species
AUCCAGGUGGCCAUUUAACCCAUCCAGACUUCCUACAGGCACAGAGCAGCCUAGAAGCAGAACAUGCUGUGCUGACCUCUCCAGGUGGCCAGAGGGCAGUGGGUUUGCAUCACCACAUUUGCCUAACAAUUGACAUUCUACUUGGCACUGUUCGCUUGCUGACUGAGAACCAACAAAGCCAGAUAUCCUAGCACUGCAAGCAGCACACCAGCCUCCUGAAGGAAGCCAGGGCAGUAAGGCUACAAAUAGCUGCCCAUGAAAACACUGGGGUGAAACUGCCAGGGAGAAGAAAACAACUACCCAGAAGCACCCCAAGGACCACUGGGGACGGAAACAGGGAGAGCAAGCUGAGUGGCCAAGACAUUCAUAUGAAGACUGUGACCUAUGGCCCAGCUAAUAAGAGGACCUCUACCCGCCUCAUUGUGAUGUCCAUGACCCUUCUAUUCUAA